ACGGCAGCACGGGUGCUUGCACCUGGUGGCGAGUGGCGAACGGGUGAGUAAUGUAUCGGAACGUAUCCGGAAGUGGGGGAUAGCCCGGCGAAAGCCGGAUUAAUACCGCAUAUGCCCUGAGGGGGAAAGUGGGGGACCGCAAGGCCUCAUGCUUUCGGAGUGGCCGAUAUCGGAUUAGCUAGUAGGUUAGGUAAAGGCUGACCUAGGCGACGAUCCGUAGCGGGUCUGAGAGGAUGAUCCGCCACACUGGGACUGAGACACGGCCCAGACUCCUACGGGAGGCAGCAGUGGGGAAUUUUGGACAAUGGGGGCAACCCUGAUCCAGCCAUGCCGCGUGAGUGAAGAAGGCCUUCGGGUUGUAAAGCUCUUUCGGACGGAAAGAAAUUGCCAUCUCUAACAUAGGUGGUGGAUGACGGUACCGUAAGAAGAAGCACCGGCUAACUACGUGCCAGCAGCCGCGGUAAUACGUAGGGUGCGAGCGUUAAUCGGAAUUACUGGGCGUAAAGCGUGCGCAGGCGGUUUUGUAAGACAGGCGUGAAAUCCCCGGGCUUAACCUGGGAACUGCGCUUGUGACUGCAAGGCUAGAGUGCGGCAGAGGGGGGUAGAAUUCCACGUGUAGCAGUGAAAUGCGUAGAGAUGUGGAGGAAUACCGAUGGCGA
rnacentral:rRNA from 1 species